rnacentral:rRNA from 1 species
UACGUAGGGUCCGAGCGUUGUCCGGAAUUACUGGGCGUAAAGAGCUCGUAGGUGGUUUGUCGCGUUGUUCGUGAAAACUCACAGCUCAACUGUGGGCGUGCGGGCGAUACGGGCAGACUAGAGUACUGCAGGGGAGACUGGAAUUCCUGGUGUAGCGGUGGAAUGCGCAGAUAUCAGGAGGAACACCGGUGGCGAAGGCGGGUCUCUGGGCAGUAACUGACGCUGAGGCACGAAAGCCAGGGGAGCAAACGGG